rnacentral:lncRNA from 1 species
CCCAAAACUAAAAAGCUACAUUUCUAAGGGUAAAAUUCAAAAAUAAUCAAAGUAAUGAUAACAAUUGAGGAUUUUCUCAAAGUCACAUAUAUUAGCCAUUCAUUAAAAUUUUAUUUUUUGCUAAGAGAAUAUGACUUUGGGAGACUGAGUUUGUAAAUGAUCAAUUACCACGCCACAUAUAAAAGCAGAACUCUGACCCACGAUUUGCCGCGAGCAGCCCCGGGAGCCAGCGCUUGUCUGCAGGAGCCAGUUCGGAAGCCACCUGCUGCAAGUCAGAGUCCAGAAAGGAAGGCCGGGGUGUCAAGCAACGGCCCAGAAGGCCAAACAGUUCACCCUGAGGCAAUCAGUGCCAAAGGGCCAGGAUGUAAUUAAUGACUGACAGAUUCUGUAACGUUGUCCCCAAUUCCAACCUAGGACCAGGUGGAGAAAGCCAAGUGUUCCCCUAGUCAAUUCCAUGAGAUGUCCCCACUACCACCACAGCCUCCGCCGGGGCUCCCCGAGCCGCUCUCCCCGCUCCCUGCCUCCUGAGUCUCUGCCAAGCCCAAAGUGUGGUGGUGGCUCCAUCUGUCUAGCAAG